AUCCUACGGGAGGCAGCAGUGGGGAAUAUUGGGCAAUGGGCGCAAGCCUGACCCAGCAACGCCGCGUGAAGGAAGAAGGCUUUCGGGUUGUAAACUUCUUUUGUCAGGGACGAAGCAAGUGACGGUACCUGACGAAUAAGCCUCGGCUAACUACGUGCCAGCAGCCGCGGUAAUACGUAGGUGGCAAGCGUUAUCCGGCUUUAUUGGGUGUAAAGGGCGGGUAGGCGGGCAUGCAAGGCAGAUGUGGA
rnacentral:rRNA from 1 species